rfam:Arcobacter nitrofigilis DSM 7299, complete genome.
GGCUCGGUAGCUCAGUCGGUAGAGCAAAGGACUGAAAAUCCUUGUGUCGGCAGUUCGAUUCUGCCCCGCGCCA